CCCUUAGAUGUUCUGGGCGGCCCGCGCACUACAUUGGCACUGGCAACAAGAUCCUAGAUCUGAUAUUUCGGGGUAUUCUACCAACUGGUGUCGUGACUGGGAUUAACCCCUGCAAUUAUUGGUUAUGAACGAGGAAUUCCUUGUAAUCACGGUUUAUCAACCCGUGUUGAAUGCGUCCCUGCCCUUUGUACACACCGCCCGUCGCUCCUACCGAUGAAUCGUCCGGUGAAGUUCAUGGAGUCGCGGCUGCUCCAGCUGUUUUCGAAGUGAAAUGGACCUCAUCAUUUAGAGGAAGGAGAAGUCGUANCA
rnacentral:rRNA from 1 species